rnacentral:rRNA from 1 species
UACGGAGGGAGCUAGCGUUGUUCGGAAUUACUGGGCGUAAAGCGCGCGUAGGCGGCUUUGUAAGUUAGAGGUGAAAGCCCAGGGCUCAACCCUGGAAUUGCCUUCUAAACUGGCGACCUUGAGUAUGGCAGAGGUGUGUGGAACUCCGAGUGUAGAGGUGAAAUUCGUAGAUAUUCGCAAGAACACCAGUGGCGAAGGCGGCUCACUGGCCCGGUACUGACGCUGAGGUGCGAAAGCGUGGGGAGCAAACAGG